rnacentral:tRNA from 1 species
CGGGAUGUAGAUCAGUUGGUUAGAUCGCACGUCUGGGGGGCGUGAGGCCGGCAGUUCGAGUCUGCCCAUCCCGAC